rnacentral:rRNA from 1 species
GACGAAGGGGGCUAGCGUUGUUCGGAAUUACUGGGCGUAAAGCGCGUGUAGGCGGUUGCCAAAGUCGGGUGUGAAAGCCUUGAGCUCAACUCAAGAAAUGCACUCGAUACUUGGUGACUAGAGGACCGGAGAGGAUAGUGGAAUUCCCAGUGUAGUGGUGAAAUACGUAGAGAUUGGGAAGAACACCAGUGGCGAAGGCGGCUAUCUGGACGGUUUCUGACGCUGAGGCGCGAAAGCUAGGGUAGCAAACGGG